rnacentral:rRNA from 1 species
UGCGUAGGUGGUGGGGUAAGUCUCGUGUGAAAGCUCGCAGCUUAACUGCGAAAAGUCACGGGAUACUAUUCCGCUGGAGGCUUGGAGGGGGGACUGGAAUACUUGGUGUAGCAGUGAAAUGCGUAGAUAUCAAGUGGAACACCAGUGGCGAAGGCGAGUCCCUGGACAAGACCUGACACUGAGGCACGAAAGCCAGGGAGCAAACA